rnacentral:lncRNA from 1 species
CCCCGCCUAUCUGCCUAUAGAAAUGCGUUCACGAAUAUCUCAUCCCGAUUUGUUAAAUGCUCGGUUAAAUGCUAUAAUCUUUUGCAAGAUGUUCCAUCUUUUCACUUAAAAUUGAUGCCUUCGCUCCACUGGUUUCCAUUUAGUCCUCUUCUUUAUAUACAACCUUUUAUACCAUUUUUAUCAAGUUCUUUCUCUCAAUAUUAUUUUCAUUGCAUUUUAAAAUUAAUUGUAGUGGUUAAUUAACAGAUUGUUUAACAUUUCAUUAAGUAAGUGACAUAAAACAUAAACUUACAAAAAUACUGGAAUAUCUAUCGUCAUAGUAAGCAAUUGGUGUUUGUAAAGCUAUUUCAUCCGAACUGACAUCGUCUCCAGCCCUCAAUACUCGGUCUCCCCUGUCUUCCCCCGAUGGAAAGAAAAGACUAAAAGGCACAGCUAAUGAACAUCCAAAAAUACAUAAAACUGAAAAAAAUCCAAACAUAAAGUUUCCUAUAUACAUUGUCUACGAUGAAUUUUGUGUGAAGUAUUUUAUAAUCCUUUUAAAAGAGAGGCACUAGAGUUGAGUUAAUCCGGUGUUAAAUAACUACAUAGACAUUAUCUUAAUCUGACACACAUUCAAGAUCUUCUCCACUAGAAAAUAAGUUAUCAGUAAGUAAUUUUGACAAGAUCUGGAUUCUGAUUGGUUGAAGAUAAUGAAUGUGCGAACGACCGCGUGUGUAAAACCAGAUGUGAUGAGCAGUGAUCAUUUAAGCUAUCUUUCUAUUAAUCGCAAACUGUCAGUCAGUUUUCAUGGACAGUUUUAAAUGAUUUUUUAAAAGCCGAUUGUCAAGAAGUAACAAUUGAAUAGAAGUUGAUACUUUCGACAGAUGUUAUUUUUCGUCGGUUACUGUAUACUGGUGUUGUUCGUCCAUUUUCC